UCUUGGUCAUUUAGAGGAAGUAAAAGUCGUAACAAGGUUUCCGUAGGUGAACCUGCGGAAGGAUCAUUACCGAGUGAGGGCCCUCUGGGUCCAACCUCCCACCCGUGUUUAUUUUACCUUGUUGCUUCGGCGGGCCCGCCUUAACUGGCCGCCGGGGGGCUUACGCCCCCGGGCCCGCGCCCGCCGAAGACACCCUCGAACUCUGUCUGAAGAUUGUAGUCUGAGUGAAAAUAUAAAUUAUUUAAAACUUUCAACAACGGAUCUCUUGGUUCCGGCAUCGAUGAAGAACGCAGCGAAAUGCGAUACGUAAUGUGAAUUGCAAAUUCAGUGAAUCAUCGAGUCUUUGAACGCACAUUGCGCCCCCUGGUAUUCCGGGGGGCAUGCCUGUCCGAGCGUCAUUGCUGCCCUCAAGCACGGCUUGUGUGUUGGGCCCCGUCCUCCGAUCCCGGGGGACGGGCCCGAAAGGCAGCGGCGGCACCGCGUCCGGUCCUCGAGCGUAUGGGGCUUUGUCACCCGCUCUGUAGGCCCGGCCGGCGCUUGCCGAUCAACCCAAAUUUUUAUCCAGGUUGACCUCGGAUCAGGUA
rnacentral:rRNA from 1 species